AACGUGAAACGCGGCGGUCUAGUUUUUUGUUUCUCGUACAUUAUUUUUAUUGUAAUAUCAGGAAAUCGGUAAUUUGUAUAUAAUUUUUCACAUAUUUUGUAUAUAUUCUUUUAUUUGUAUAUAUAAUUAGUGGAUUUCUUCAUAGUUGGAGCGCGAAGCCAUUAAAAAAAAAAAAAAAAAAAAACUGUCAGU